rnacentral:rRNA from 1 species
CCUACGGGAGGCAGCAGUGGGGAAUAUUGCACAAUGGGGGGAACCCUGAUGCAGCGACGCCGCGUGGGUGAAGGAGUAUUUCGGUAUGUAAAGCCCUAUCAGCAGGGAAGAACAAUGACGGUACCUGACUAAGAAGCACCGGCUAAAUACGUGCCAGCAGCCGCGGUAAUACGUAGGGGGCAAGCGUUAUCCGGAUUUACUGGGUGUAAGGGGGGCGCAGACGGCGAUGCAAGCCAGGAGUGAAAGCCCGGGGCCCAACCCCGGGACUGCUCUUGGGACUGCGUGGUGGGAGUGCAGGAGGGGCAGGCGGAAUUCCUGGGGUAGCGGUGAAAUGCGUAGAUAUCAGGAGGAACACCGGUGGCGAAGGCGGCCUGCGGGACUGCAACUGACGUUGAGGCCCGAAAGCGUGGGGAGCAAACAGGAUUAGAUACCCCAGUAGUC